UACGAGGGGGGCAAGCGUUGUUCGGAAUUAUUGGGCGUAAAGGGCGCGUAGGCGGUGCGGUAAGUCUGUUGUGAAAUCUCCGGGCUCAACUCGGAGUCUGCAUCAGAAACUGCCGUGCUUGAGUGUGGGAGAGGUGAGUGGAAUUCCCGGUAUAGCGGUGAAAUGCGUAGAUAUCGGGAGGAACACCUGUGGCGAAAGCGGCUCACUGGACCACAACUGACGCUGAUGCGCGAAAGCUAGGGGAGCAAACAGG
rnacentral:rRNA from 1 species